rnacentral:misc_RNA from 1 species
CACGCGCCUCGCUCAGCGUGCAGGGCCUUAAACAACUGUGAGUGAUUUAAAAUUCGAAUUGAAUUCAACGGAUAUGCUGGACCUAAACUUCGAACACAAAUACAUAAAUAAAAAGAUGCACAAAGAACAUGGAUAACAUCUAUACAGACGCAGAUACAUUGGACUGUAUUAAGAGGUGAAAUGUGACCAGCAUCGGAUUGGAUGAGCC